CCUACGGGAGGCAGCAGUGAGGAAUAUUGGUCAAUGGCCGAGAUGCUGAACCAGCAAAGUCGCGUGAGUGAAGACGGCCCUCCGGGUUGUAAACCUCUUUUGUCGGGGAGCAAAGAGAGUCACGUGUGACUCAUUGAGAGUACCCGAAGAAAAAGCAUCGGCUAACUCCGUGCCAGCAGCCGCGGUAAUACGGAGGGUGCAAGCGUUGUCCGGAGUCAUGGGGCGUAAAGAGUUCGUAGGCGGCAUGUAAAGUCAGGUGUUAAAGGCGCAGGCUCAACCUGUGUAUGGCACGUGAUACUUGCAAGCUGGAAUGCGGUAGAGGUAAAGGGAAUUCCUGGUGUAGCGGUGAAAUGCUUAGAGAUCAGGAGGAACAUCGGUGGCGUAAGCGCUUUACUGGGCCGUAAUUGACGCUGAGGAACGAAAGCCAGGGUAGCAAAUGGGAUUAGAUACCCCUGUAGUC
rnacentral:rRNA from 1 species